rnacentral:rRNA from 1 species
AUUGAACGCUGGCGGCAGGCCUAACACAUGCAAGUCGAGCGAGCGGCGGACGGGGGUGUAAUGUCUGGGAAACUGCCUGAUGGAGGGGGAUAACUACUGUAAACGGUAGCUAAUACCGCAUACCAUCAGAUGUGCCCAGAUGGGAUGAGCUCGUAGGUGGGGUAACGGCUCACCCAGGCGACGAUCCCUCGCUGGUCUGAGAGGAUGACCAGCCACACUGGAACUGAUACACGGUCCAGACUCCUACGGGAGGCAGUAGUGGGGAAUAUUGCACAAUGGGCGCAAGCCUGAUGCAGCCAUGCCGCGUGUGUGAAGAAGGCCUUCGGGUUGUAAAGCACUUUCAGCGGGGAGGCGUUACCCGCAGAAGAAGCACCGGCUAACUCCGUGCCAGCAGCCGCGGUAAUAC